GACGAACGCUGGCGGCGUGCUUAACACAUGCAAGUCGAGCGGGGAUACGAGGGAGCUUGCUCCUGAGUAUUCUAGCGGCGGACGGGUGAGUAACGCGUGAGCAACCUUUUCUCUCAGUGGGGAAUAACACAGGGAAACUUGUACUAAUACCGCAUGAGACCACAGAGUCGCAUGACUUAGGGGUCAAAGAUUUAUUGCUGAGAGGUGGGCUCGCGUCUGAUUAGGUAGUUGGUGAGGUAACGGCCCACCAAGCCGACGAUCAGUAGCCGACCUGAGAGGGUGAUCGGCCACAUUGGGACUGAGACACGGCCCAAAAC
rnacentral:rRNA from 1 species